rnacentral:rRNA from 1 species
GAUGAACGCUGGCGGCGUGCCUAAUACAUGCAAGUCGAGCGAACAGACGAGGAGCUUGCUCCCCUGACGUUAGCGGCGGACGGGUGAGUAACACGUGGAUAACCUACCUAUAAGACUGGGAUAACUUCGGGAAACCGGAUCUAAUACCGGAGAAUAUAUUGUACGGCAUGGAUCAAUAGUGAAAGACGGUUUUGCUGUCACUUAUAGAUGGAUCCGCGCCGCAUUAGCUAGUUGGUAAGGUAACGGCUUACCAAGGCAACGUUGCGUAGCCGACCGGAGAGGGAGGACGAGCACAAUGGAACUGAGAAACGGUCCCGACUCCUAAGGGAGGCAGCAGUAGGGAAUCUUCCGCAAUGGGGGACAGGUUGACGGCGCAACGCCGGGGGAGUGAUGAAGGUCUUCGGAUCGGAAAACUCUGUUAUUAGGGAAGAACAAAUGUGUAAUUAACUAUGCACGUUUUGACGGUAACUAAUAAGAAAGCCACGGCUAACUUCGUG